GAUGAACGCUAGCGGCAGGCCUAAUACAUGCAAGUCGAACGGUGUCUUCGGACAUAGUGGCGCACGGGUGCGUAACACGUAUGCAACCUACCUUACAUUGGGGGAUAGCCUUUCGAAAGGGAGAUUAAUACCGCAUAAGACAGUAGCUGGGCAUCCAGCAGCUGUUAAAGAUUUAUCGAUGUAAGCUGGGCAUGCGUCCAAUUAGCUAGUUGGUGAGGUAGCGGCUCACCAAGGCAAUGAUUGGUAGGGGAACUGAGAGGUCAAUCCCCCACACUGGCACUGAGAUACGGGCCAGACUCCUACGGGAGGCAGCAGUAGGGAAUAUUGGGCAAUGGACGCAAGUCUGACCCAGCCAUGCCGCGUGCAGGAUGAAGGCGUUAUGCGUUGUUAACUGCUUUUAUACAGGAAGAAACGACUCUUGCGAGAGGCAUUGACGGUACUGUAUGAAUAAGCACCGGCUAACUCCGUGCCAGCCGCCGCGGUAAAAC
rnacentral:rRNA from 1 species